rnacentral:rRNA from 1 species
GGGUUAACGUCCCGUAACGAGCGCAACCCUUGUCCUUAGUUACCAGCACGUUAUGGUGGGCACUCUAAGGAGACUGCCGGUGACAAACCGGAGGAAGGUGGGGAUGACGUCAAGUCAUCAUGGCCCUUACGGCCUGGGCUACACACGUGCUACAAUGGUCGGUACAAAGGGUUGCCAAGCCGCGAGGUGGAGCUAAUCCCAUAAAACCGAUCGUAGUCCGGAUCGCAGUCUGCAACUCGACUGCGUGAAGUCGGAAUCGCUAGUAAUCGUGAAUCAGAAUGUCACGGUGAAUACGUUCCCGGGCCUU